AUGCUGAUUCUUACACCAAAGGAUCACUAUAUGCCAAGACUUCGAGGAUGAUAAGAGCGGAAGAUUUGGAUUUAAUUGUUAGGCUCGAUGGCUCAAAAUACGACAAGGAAUCAACUGAAAGAGGAACAUGUAUGAAUCGUACGGAAGAACUACUAUAUGCUAUUAAGAAUAAUUCGGUGUCUAAGAAACAUGGCGAUAUUAUAAUAAUCUCUCGGAUCCAUAUGUAUUUCAUUACUAGAUACAUCCGUUUGGCAUAAGUUUCUUUUCAUUCUGAACCUAAUAAUAUCUCCAUGCUUUUAGAGGUUAUUUAGCUAAUACUUCCUCCGUCCGGUAAUACUUGUCAGAGAAAUGGAUGUAUUUAGACAUAUUUUGGCUCAUUGAUGGCAUGUACUCCCUCUGUUCCUAAAUAUAAGUUUUUCUAGAGAUUCCACCAAGUGACUACAUACGGAGCAAAAUGAGUGAAUCUACAUUCUGAAAUA